UUCCUACUCCCUCCGUCCAACAAAGGAUAUCUCAAGUUUGUCAAAAUUUGGAUGUAUCUAGACAUGACUUAGUGUAUAAAUGCAUUCAAAUUUAGUUAAAGUUGAGACAUCCUUUGUUGGACGGAGGAGUAAUAA
rnacentral:pre_miRNA from 1 species